rnacentral:rRNA from 1 species
AUGGAGCUCCAAUCAGAGGUAGCUCGCAGUAGAUCGGGCAGCGACGAGGCGGGGUCCUCGAAGAAGCAGAGGACGCAGGCAGCAGCGGGAUCGUGCGGGCAAAGCAGACGAGUUCCGGCCGGUCGGGAUCCCACUGGGGAUGCGGUAGGGCGAGGUUGGAGCUCCUGGACGGCAAGGACUUGGCGUUCGAAUCCCCCGGAACGAGACGAGGCAAGGGCGGCGCCAUGGAUGAAGUGGUCCUGCUCCUUGUUCAAAAGAGGAGAGGGAAGAGCAGGGGAGGUCAGAGGGCAUAAGAGAGAGAAUCAAGGGCGCGUGGCGAUCAAUGUCUCACCGGUGAGGUCUGGCAUGAGACAGAGCGGACGGAAGGCUGCAAGGAGCUCCCUGGGAGGCACCGGGCAUGGCGGCUACAAAGUUUCAUUUGACGCCAUGGUGCCGAAGCCUCCUGCAGUGAAAAGAAAAGGGAGAGAGAGACGACAUGAGAGAGAGCUACGGAAGGAGACAGGAGAACGAGAGGGAAGGGAGAAGGCACGCCUGAUUUGGUGCUCCGGCGAGAUGCUUGUAGAGGAGAUGGGGGUCGAGAGGCGUGGGAGGUGA